AAAACGACUCUCGGCAACGGAUAUCUCGGCUCUCGCAUCGAUGAAGAACGUAGCGAAAUGCGAUACUUGGUGUGAAUUGCAGAAUCCCGUGAACCAUCGAGUCUUUGAACGCAAGUUGCGCCCGAAGCGUUAGCGGAGGGCACGUCUGCCUGGGCGUCACGC
rnacentral:rRNA from 1 species